rnacentral:RNase_P_RNA from 1 species
UGUUUGCUGUAAUCGCUGCGUAAUUUACUACGUAGAGGAAAGUCCAUGCUCACACAAGCUGAGAUGCUUGUAGUGUUCGUGCUUGAUGAAUUCAUAAAUCAAGGGAGCCAUAUGUUGGUUCACGGCAGAGUAAAUACCUAAGUCAUUUGAUAUGGUGUGAUGCUCUUGAAAGUGCCACAGUGACGUAGUCAGGUUGGAAACAACUUGAGUGGAACGAGGUAAACCCCACGAGUGAGCAACCCAAAUUUAGGUAGGGGCAUCCUGGAUUAGGGAAUACAACCGAAACAGGGACAA